ensembl:lincRNA
UGGUUAUGUUUCAUUCCCUUAUCUCCAAAGUAGAAAUUCAUGGUUGGCUCUUUCUUCACCAGCUGUCUGUGAGAAGACUCAGCUACAACCACAGACUGGAGCCCAUGAGUGGUGAACUCAGGCUUGCAAGGAGGCUGCACCAGAAUCAUAAGCUUACAGGAGAAACAUUUGAAAAGGUUUGACUCCUGGCACUGACUUUGAUACUUGGAAUUUUGAGGUUCAGGGACUUCAGAGAAUUUGGCAGCACAGCGUAUUGGGAGAAACGGAAAUUUCAGGAGAUGGAUUGAUCACCCUGGUUGACAUGUUUCUGGAAGUGGGUGAGUGGGUUUGAUUGAGAACAUUUUGGGCUCUUGCACUGAUGGUGGGAAAGAAAAAUUCAUGGCGGCACUUCUCAUAAUAAUUCUCUCCCCUGAAAAGAAAGAUCAUGAUAAAGAAUAAUUUGGAAUAAUAAGUAACAAGAUAGAAUUAGAAAAAUGUUGACUUUCCAGAUGACCAGUCAGAAGUGUGGCUUUUUUCACAUCUUUUUCUCCUGCAAUGAUCUGCUCCCAAGUGCUGCACUGCAAUACCAGUCUAACUAACACUUUGUGAAACAAAUUGUUAAGUGUGUAUGUAUGCAUAUCAAGCUAUGCUCUGAGGAUAAAGCAAGUUCUAAUUUGUGGAAAAAGGAUUAAGUAUUUCUGUUUUCUGAAAAAGAAAAAUGUAGAGUAUCUUCCUAUUGCUUCAAACCCUAUACUUCAAUAUCCAAUGUUCGAUAUCUCCAUUAGCCCCAUUGUAUCUUUCACAAUUCAUCCCUCACUGCUUUCUCAUGGGGCCUUCUAUUCUAGCAAGGAAACAUUUUCUUCUCCCCUCCCUCCUGUCAUUUCUCCUUCUUUGGUAAUGUUUUUCCAUUUCUUCCCCUCCAAUCCAAA